UGGGGAAUAUUGGACAAUGGGCGCAAGCCUGAUCCAGCCAUGCCGCGUGAGUGACGAAGGCCUUAGGGUUGUAAAGCUCUUUUGGCGGGGAAGAUAAUGACGGUACCCGCAGAAUAAGCUCCGGCUAACUUCGUGCCAGCAGCCGCGGUAAUACGAAGGGAGCUAGCGUUGUUCGGAAUCACUGGGCGUAAAGCGCACGUAGGCGGACUUUCAAGUCAGGGGUGAAAUCCCGGGGCUCAACCUCGGAACUGCCUUUGAUACUGUUUGUCUCGAGUCCGGAAGAGGUGAGUGGAAUUCCUAGUGUAGAGGUGAAAUUCGUAGAUAUUAGGAAGAACACCGGUGGCGAAGGCGGCUCACUGGUCCGGUACUGACGCUGAGGUGCGAAAGCGUGGGGAGCAAACA
rnacentral:rRNA from 1 species